CCCAAAAACAAAAAAAAAGAAAAAGCCCUAAAGUUCGACUUAAACUUCUCUAACAAUUGGUAAAUGCUAUUUUGAACGAAUUAGCAGAGAAUUGUGCUACGACAAAUUCAGCGAAUUAGCGGCUCGUCACCUUCAUCGACAACAGCGGCUCAUAUUUGAGGUUCUUCUCAUCUUGGAGAUCGUCGCCAAAGCUGUAGCAGCAGGGAUGUCUCUGGGAAGUUUGGAUUUGACAAGAAUUUUCUGUUGAUCAUCACUCAUCUACACAGUGUUUUUAGCAGCAACCUUACCACUGUUGCCUCUUUGAUCCACCAGUGAAACUCCUCGAUCAUGUAUCCUUUCCUGAGACACAUCUGGACUUUUCGAAACAGUACCUUUAGGCGUAGGAUCACUUGUAGCAAUUGUAGCAGCAGCUGUUUGUAAAACCUGUUGAAGAUGCCCAGGUGAAACACUAUUAACCUUGGUAGCUUUAAUAGCCUGCACAUCAGCUGGUACAUCCUCUGAAUCCUGCACAAGGCUGCUUCAACUGGGACUGCAUCAAUCCCAUUAACGACAACUGAAUAUUAGCUAAACUUUUACCAGCUUCAUGCACAGUAGCAGCUUGUUGAUUUUCACUAGCUUGCAACUGCAAUAACUUCUGAUGCCCAUCUACUGAACUGCUGGUUCAAAUUCGUCAGUUGUAUGAUCUAGACCUCAAGAGAUUUAACAUAUCAUAUGUCUGAUCAUUGCGAGGAACUUUAAUGGCAGCUCUUGUGAUCAUAAUUGAUGAGAAAAAUCUUCAAAAUGAAACUGUAGAUAAUAUACAGAAAUAGAAGGUGAUUCGCAUCUCUAUAUUCUAAGUAUCAGCUUCAGAAUCAAAGGAUAAAGAGAUGCAGAGGGGACAGAGGAGAUGACCAAUUUUCAGCUCCUAAUAAGCACAGUUCUUCACUCAUAAGAUAAUAAAGUAAGUGGUAUUCUAUUAUUAUACCAGAUCUUGUCUCAAAGUUGAAGCACUUACCAAUUUAUACAUUCUCUCUCUUUUCUUCUUCUGGUGCAAGGGAAUUUAGACCCCACGGUGUGGGAAUUGUUGUUGUUGGUGCAAAGGAAUUUACCUGAACAGUUGUAUAGAUUUGUGGAUUUCUAAAAUGAAAUCCAUAUUGUAUAGUUCUUUUUCCCAGGAUGGCACUUGUAUAAUGAUUUGACAACAGUGAAUUAUAUAACAUUUGCUAGCACCUAUCAAAAAUGAAAAGAAGCAUAUUAGAAUUCUCAGUAUAACUGAAGGAUUCUUAUGAAGGAUUCUAGUUCAUUUGUAGCUUAUCGUACGGGUAGUAAACCAAUUAGGGAGAUCAUUUAUGAAAUGGUGAGUAAAUCUUAUAAUUCUAUUAAGAAACCUCAUCUUUGUUACAAAGAUUUCUUUGACUUGUUUAUUGUAAUGUGAAGGGAGGUAAAGAUUGUAAACCACCAGAUGUGGCAACUAUUUUUUUUUAGACUCGUAAGAAGAACAACAAGCUUGUCGAACCUGAAACCAGUGAGAAGAUAAAAUCAAAGAAUUGGUGCAAUCUGAAUCAUCUCUUACAAAUAUUGAGGUUGUAGAAAGGUGCUUCAGACCUCAACAAAAGAGUCAUGUAGUUGGAUUUGGUGGUGGGAUAACCGCUAAGGAGUUGAAAGGUGGUAACUCCUCUAAAGCUGCAUUGUUGGAAAAGCUGAAUGCUACUGUAAAAGAAAAUGAAUCGCUAAAAGGACGUUUGGAAGGGAUAGAGAGUAAAUAUGAUGAGCUAGGGAGUAAAUACUCACAUCUUGCAAAGAUAGUGUUUGAUCAGCCUUCAUCACCAUCUUCAAGUGAUCAAUGGAUUGAAUCAUAUAACGGGAUGCUUGGAGGACAACACUUCUAAGAGUGAAGGAAACAUUGAAGGCUAAGGAGCUCGAGGAAGAUGAUCUUACUUAAUUUGUUCCCCUUUGACCUAUUGUAAACUACUAGUACAUCCUUUAUGUGAUUUUAUUUGUACUGCUUUCAAAUAUGAUACUUUAGUUCUUUGUAUUAACAAGAUAUCAAGUAUUUGAUUUAUUUUUCAAUGUUGUUGAGCGUGUAUGAAAGCAUAUAAAUAAUUAUUA